rnacentral:rRNA from 1 species
AGUUUGAUUCUGGCUCAGAUUGAACGCUGGCGGGAUGCUUUACACAUGCAAGUCGAACGGCAGCACGGACUUCGGUCUGGUGGCGAGUGGCGAACGGGUGAGUAAUGUGCUCGAACGUGCCUAGUAGCGGGGGGAUAACUACGCGAAAGCGUAGCUAAUACCGCAUACGCCCCGGGGAAAGCGGGGGGACCUUCGGGCCUCGCACCAUUAGAGCGGCCGAUAUCGGAUUAGCUAGUUGGUGGGGUAACGGCUCACCAAGGCGACGAUCCGUAGCUGGUUUGAGAGGACGACCAGCCACACUGGGACUGAGACGGCCCACUCCUACGGGAGGCAGCAGUGGGGAAUUUUGGACAAUGGGAAACCUCCUGAUCCAGCCAUCCCGCGUGUGCGAUGAAGGCCUUCGGGUUGUAAAGCACUUGGUAGGAAAGAAACGGCACGGGGAUAAUAAUCUGUGGCAACUGACGGUACCUGCAGAAUAAGCACCGGCUAACUACGUGCCAGCAGCCGCGGUAAUACGUAGGGUGCAAGCGUUAACGAAUUACUGGGCGUAAGCAGCGCGCGGUUCGAAAGAUGGAAAUCCCAGAGCUUAACUUGAACUGCUUUAACUCACUGCUUAGAGUAAAAUGAGGGAGGAAUUCCGCAGCAGUGAAAUGCGUAGAUAUGCGGAGGAACACCGAUGGCGAAGACAGCCUCCUGGGAUAACACUGACGCUCAUGCACGAAAGCGUGGGGAGCAAACAGGAUUAGAUAAUUCCGGUAGUCCACGCCCUAAACGAUGUCAACUAGCUGUUGGGGCCUUCGGGCCUUGGUAGCGCAGCUAACGCGUAAAGUUGACCGCCUGGGGAGUACGGUCGCAAGAUUAAAACUCAAAAGGAAUUGACGGGGACCCGCACAAGCGGUGGAUGAUGUGGAUUAAUUCGAUGCAACGCGAAAACCUUUACCUACCCUUGACAUGUCUGGAAUCCCGAAGAGAUUUGGGAGUGCUCGCAAGAGAACCGAACAUAGGUGCCGUAUGCGGCUGUCGUCAGCUCGUGGCCGUGAGAUGUUGCUAAGUCCCGCAACGAGCGCAACCCUUGUCAUUAGUUGCUACGAAAGGGCACCUAAUGAGACUGCCGGUGACAAACCGGAGGAAGGUGGGAUGACGUCAAGUCCUCAUGGCCCUGCGGCAGGGCUUCACACGUCAUACAAUGGUCGGGACAGAGGGGUCGCCAACCCGCGAGGGGAGCCAAUCCCAGAAACCCGAUCGUAGUCCGGAUCGCAGUCUGCAACUCGACUGCGUGAAGUCGGAAUCGCUAGGGAUCGCGGAUCAGCAUGUCGCGUGGUGAAUACGUUCCCGGUCUUGCGCCACCGCCCGUCACACCAUGGGCGGGUUUUACCAGAAGUAGUUAGCCUAACCGUAAGGAGGGCGAUUACCACGGUAGGAUUCAUGACUGGGGUGAAGUCGUAACAAGGU